rnacentral:rRNA from 1 species
AGAGUUUGAUCAUGGCUCAGAUUGAACGCUGGCGGCAGGCCUAACGCAUGCAAGUCGAGCGGUAGAGAGAAGCUUGCUUCUCUUGAGAGCGGCGGACGGGUGAGUAAUGCCUAGGAAUCUGCCUGGUAGUGGGGGAUAACCGUUCGGAAACGGACGCUAAUACCGCAUACGUCCUACGGGAGAAAGCAGGGGACCUUCGGGCCUUGCGCUAUCAGAUGAGCCUAGGUCGGAUUAGCUAGUUGGUGGGGUAAUGGCUCACCAAGGCGACGAUCCGUAACUGGUCUGAGAGGAUGAUCAGUCACACUGGAACUGAGACACGGUCCAGACUCCUACGGGAGGCAGCAGUGGGGAAUAUUGGACAAUGGGCGAAAGCCUGAUCCAGCCAUGCCGCGUGUGUGAAGAAGGUCUUCGGAUUGUAAAGCACUUUAAGUUGGGAGGAAGGGUUGUAGAUUAAGUACUCUGCAAUUUUGACGUUACCGACAGAAUAAGCACCGGCUAACUCUGUGCCACAAGCCGCGGUAAUCCAGANGGUGCAAGCGUUAAUCGGAAUACUGGGCCUAAAGCCCCCUAGUGGUAAGUAAAGUGGNUGUGAAUCC